CCUACGGGUGGCAGCAGUGGGGAAUAUUGCACAAUGGGGGAAACCCUGAUGCAGCGACGCCGCGUGAGUGAAGAAGUAUUGCGGUAUGUAAAGCUCUAUCAGCAGGGAAGAAAAUGACGGUACCUGACCAAGAAGCCCCGGCGAACGACGUGCCAGCAGCCGCGGUAAGACGUAGGGGGCAAGCGUUAUCCGGAUUUCCUGGGUGUAAAGGGAGCGUAGACGGCAGGGCAAGUCUGGAGGGAAAGGCCGGGGCUUAACCCCCGAACUGCUUUGGAAACUGACCGGCUGGAGUGCAGGAGAGGUUAGUGGAUUUCCUAGUGUCGCGGUGCACUGCGUAGCUAUUAGGAG
rnacentral:rRNA from 1 species